GGCGGGGUGGCCAAGUCGUACAGGCAAUGGACUGCUAAUUCAUUGCGCUCUGCUCGUGUCGGUUCGAAUCCCAUCCUUUCCG